UUUAAUAGUCGAACAGACUAGCCUAUAUAGCUGCUACACCAGAUGGCACCUUUAAUUCAACAUCGAGGUCACAAGAUCUUUUAUCAAUUAGGCCUCUCUAAAAGCAUUGUGCUGUUAUCCCUGAGGUAACUACUCUUUAACUUGUCUAAGAUCUUUGAGACUCCUAUUUUAUUGGUGUGCAAAUUAGAUGUGUUGAUUUACCGCCCCAGUUUAACACAGCCUGGGCAAAGACUCAAGUUAUUUGAACCUAAGCCAACCCUCAGUUAGCUCUGCAGGGUCUUAUCUUCCUAUUGGCCGACCUUGAAGUUUUAAUCAAAGCCUUAAAUUAUAAUAUUGUGGGUUUACAAGUCGUCUUUCAUGGACCCCUUCAUUCUAGACCCCAAUUAAGAGCCAAAUCAUUAUGCUACCUUUGCACAGUUAAGG
rnacentral:rRNA from 1 species